UGAGUUUGUGCUCCAUUUUUUAUUGCUUAGAUGGGUCGAGGAUUUAGCUUGGUUGGGAAAAUGUGUAAUCAUAAACACCUUUUAACUGUAAAUAUAUCACAUGGUUUGUACAGUUCAAAAAUGGAUAGUGAGUUUAUCAUAUAGAAAUUUUGGUGUCUGAGGAACGCAAUGAAAGUUAACAUAUACAAUGAUGAAAGAUUAGAGGUGUUUGUCUGUAUAUAUAAAAUUUUCUAUCAAAAGCAAUUGCCCUAUUGGUUUUAGAGAAAGGCAGAUGCUAAAACCCUAUUCCAUUUAUUUCAAAACAAGCAAUCUCUUAAUGGAAAAUUAUGCUCAUGUAUUGGAUUUUACGCAUGUUUUGCAGGCAAGUUUCAAUAGAGGAAGG
rnacentral:misc_RNA from 1 species